CGCGUGAGGGAGGGGCUCUUGGGUUGUAAACCUCUUUUAUCAGGGAAGAAACAAAUGACGGUACCUGAUGAAUCAGCAUCGGCUAACUCCGUGCCAGCAGCCGCGGUAAUACGGAGGAUGCAAGCGUUAUCCGGAAUUAUUGGGCGUAAAGCGUCCGUAGGUGGUUUUUCAAGUCUGCUGUCAAAGCGUGGAGCUUAACUCCGUAUCGGCAGUGGAAACUGGGAGACUAGAGUGCGAUAGGGGUAACGGGAAUUCCCAGUGUAGCGGUGAAAUGCGUAGAGAUUGGGAAGAACACCAGCGGCGAAAGCGCGUUACUGGGUCUGCACUGACACUGAGGGACGAAAGCUAGGGGAGCGA
rnacentral:rRNA from 1 species